rnacentral:lncRNA from 1 species
AGCCCCUCCAGCUGACUGGACAUUCCCAGCCACACUUUCCUUCCCUUCGCUGCGUUAGUUCUGCAUUUUUAUUUUAAAGCAGCUGGUAGAACAGCUGUCUCCCUGUCUAAAAGCAAAAGCUGACUUAUCUGAUGUAGAAAUAAAAUGUCACUCACUUGAUGUAUAUUUGCUUGUUGAGUUUUGCUAUUUUUACCACAAGUUUCCUAUAAAUUUAAAUGAGACCCGGCGCGGUGGCUCACGCCUGUCAU